UACGUAGGUGUCGAGCGUUGUCCGGAUUUAUUGGGCGUAAAGAGCCCGCAGGCGGCUUGGCAAGUUUGAGGUGAAAUCUCCCGGCUUAACUGGGAGGGGGCCUCGAAAACUGCCAGGCUUGGGGCAUGGAGAGGGAUGCGGAAUUCCCGGUGUAGUGGUGAAAUGCGUAGAUAUCGGGAGGAACACCAGUGGCGAAGGCGGCAUCCUGGCCAUGUCCUGACGCUCAGGGGCGAAAGCGUGGGGAGCAAACCGG
rnacentral:rRNA from 1 species